rnacentral:rRNA from 1 species
GACCAGACUCCUACGGGAGGCAGCAGUGGGGAAUAUUGCACAAUGGGGGGAACCCUGAUGCAGCGACGCCGCGUGGGUGAAGGAGCACCUCGGUGCGUAAAGCCCUAUCGGCAGGGAAGAAACAGACGGUACCUGACUAAGAAGCCCCCGCUAACUACGUGCCCGCCGCCGCGGUAAUACGUAGGGGGCAAGCGUUAUCCGGAUUCACUGGGCGUAAAGGGCGCGUAGGCGGUAAUAUAAGUCAGAUGUGAAAGGUGGGGGCUCAACCCCUAGAGUGCAACUGAUACUGUAUAACUUGAGUGUGAGAGAGGGAAGCGGAAUUCCUGGUGUAGCGGUGAAAUGCGUAGAUAUUAGGAGGAACACCAGUGGCGAAGGCGGCUUUCUGGCUCAUAACUGACGCUGAGGCGCGAAAGCGUGGGGAGCAAACAGGAUUAGAUACCCCAGUAA